AAAAAGAUAAACCGCAGUUUUCUGUGCCAACGUUUGACUGUCCGUCUUAUAUGAAAAUUUUUUAUAAUUAGUAUUUUCAUUGUUGUUAGAUGAUAAAACAUGAUUAAUACUUUAUGCAUGACUUAUUUUUUUAAUUUUUUUCAUAUUUUUUUUUAAAUAAGACGGACGGUUAAACGUUGGAUACGGAAAUUAGGGUUUGUCUUUUU
rfam:Oryza rufipogon genomic scaffold, chr03